rnacentral:rRNA from 1 species
GGCCAGACUCCUACGGGAGGCAGCAGUGGGGAAUAUUGCACAAUGGGCGCAAGCCUGAUGCAGCCAUGCCGCGUGUAUGAAGAAGGACUUCGGGUUGUAAAGUACUUUCAGCGGGGAGGAAGGUGUUGAGGUUAAUAACCUCAGCAAUUGACGUUACCCGCAGAAGAAGCACCGGCUAACUCCGUGCCAGCAGCCGCGGUAAUACGGAGGGUGCAAGCGUUAAUCGGAAUUACUGGGCGUAAAGCGCACGCAGGCGGUCUGUCAAGUCAGAUGUGAAAUCCCCGGGCUCAACCUGGGAACUGCAUUCGGAACUGGCAGGCUGGAGUGUGGUAGAGGGGGGUAGAAUUCCAGGUGUAGCGGUGAAAUGCGUAGAGAUCAGGAGGAAUACCGGUGGCGAAGGCGGCCCCCUGGACAAAGACUGACGCUCAGGUGCGAAAGCGUGGGGAGCAAACAGGAUUAGAUACCCGAGUA